rnacentral:lncRNA from 1 species
AUAACAUAAUUUUCAAAACAUUAGACACACAAUGAUAUUUUGCCAUGAUGACUUUCGGCCAAGGACCUUUCUGAAAGAUUUACAAACAUAUUGAGCUAUAACAAAAUUUCUGUGGGUAAAUAUUUCCUCAAAAUUGAGCCAUAACAAAAUUUACAUAAAUAUAAGGAUCAGACGAUAAUUUCACUGCACUUCAUCUUCUUCCUCACGAUGGAGCUCCAGUUAUCUACAAUAAGCUACAGUGAACGUUGUUCGAACAACCCGAUAUUGGCCACCAAAAAUUAUGAAAAAAUCAUAUGUUUACUCCACAAACAUCACCCACAUAUUAUUUAACAACCAUUUACUCAAAUAUGCCCAAAAUCAAAAAAUCCGAAAAUAAAGAAAAAUGCCAUGGGUGAGCCAACGUUUGAUUCAUCAACAAAAUUCGCCAUGGUUUACAAAGAAAUGUAUAACCAUAAAAUCUUAUACCAAUUACUGUAAUAAAUUCGAGUUUUAUGUCCUUAAUCUUGCAUUUCUAAUUAAACACAUGCAUUGGGUAAAAAUUCAAAAUUUACCUUGAUUAGCCAUGAAUCUCAGCUUGUGGACUUGUUAAGAAGAUUCUACAGAUUGCCACUAACUGAAUCCAAACCAUUGCAACUUGUUGCCUUUCCUCAACCCAUGAUAUGAAUGAUUUGCACAGCCACUGCACACACACAAACGGCAGAGAAAGGGAGACACUCAUAGUCAUGGCC